AGUGAACGCUGGCGGUAGGCCUAACACAUGCAAGUCGAACGGCAGCACAGUAAGAGCUUGCUCUUACGGGUGGCGAGUGGCGGACGGGCGAGGAAUACAUCGGAAUCUACUUUUUCGUGGGGGAUAACGUAGGGAAACUUACGCUAAUACCGCAUACGACCUACGGGUGAAAGCAGGGGAUCUUCGGACCUUGCGCGAUUGAAUGAGCCGAUGUCGGAUUAGCUAGUUGGCGGGGUAAAGGCCCACCAAGGCGACGAUCCGUAGCUGGUCUGAGAGGAUGAUCAGCCACACUGGAACUGAGACACGGUCCAGACUCCUACGGGAGGCAGCAGUGGGGAAUAUUGGACAAUGGGCGCAAGCCUGAUCCAGCCAUACCGCGUGGGUGAAGAAGGCCUUCGGGUUGUAAAGCCCUUUUGCUGGGAAAGAAAAGCAGCAGGUUAAUACCCCGCUGUUCUGACGGUACCCAAAGAAUAAGCACCGGCUAACUUCGUG
rnacentral:rRNA from 1 species